GUUAAAUUAAAAAAAAAUAACGAAUUUUUAUUUUUCAGUACAAAUCGGCAAUUUCAUAUUUUAACCCCUAAUAUUAUAGAGAUAGCUUACGUGGAAAAAAAAACACGUCAU